AUGCAGAGGACCUGGUGCAAACCCAUGAGAAACAGUGACAAUAAAUUUGGAAGUUCCCAGAAUUCCUAUAGCCCAUGGGGCUACAGCAGCAUGGACAUGCUCACUGAUAGGCUCUCUGCUGGGAAGGAAGAUGGAGAGAUCUAUUCCAGAGUAGAUGAAGGAGAUGGUGCUGAGACUCCAGAGAAGUAUAUGUACAGGGCUUGGGAAUCAGACCUCACAUACUGGGAAUGCUACGUAAUCAUUCCUCUCACAGAAGGAACUGAUAAAGAAAAUCCUCCAGCAAACAAAGACAACGAGGAUGCCUGCAGCAAGCACAUAGGAAAUGGGGCAUCUACCUUCCUCUUUGGGGAUGCUGCCUAUAGUGGAAUGUGAUGGUGUAGCUCCAUACCUAAGACAUACACCCCAUCCAUUAGUGACUGAAAUGGAAUGUUACCUAAUAGAAAUAGAUGCUAUUUGGAGCUGAAGUUUGUUCAUUUAAAUGAGCAGAAGGAUGGUGGUUGCACAUCUGAGCCAAUGGGCUGAAUUAACCACCAUUGGAAUGCCGAGUUUCAUUUCUUUACUCCCAGACUUUGGUAUUUAGUAACACACUGUGUGGUAUCAUCUUCACAAACACUUGCUUCACCCAAGCCCGACACCAGGGAAGUAUGGUGAC
ensembl:lincRNA